CUGGCGGCGUGCCUAACACAUGCAAGUCGGAUGUGCCGCAAGGUGCAUGGCAGACGGGUGAGUAACGCGUGGGGAAUCUACCUCUUUGUGGGGAAUAACGCUCCGAAAGGAGUGGUAAUACCGCAUGAGAUCCAUGGCUGGGAUGCUGUGGAUGAAACCUGGGGACCGCAAGGCCUGGGGCAAGGAGAGGAUCCUGCGUCUGAUUAGCUAGUUGGUGAGGUAAUGGCCCACCAAGGCAUCGAUCAGUAGCCGGCCUGAGAGGGUGAUCGGCCACACUGGAACUGAGACACGGUCCAGACUCCUACGGGAGGCAGCAGUGGGGAAUUUUGCGCAAUGGGCGAAAGCCUGACGCAGCAACGCCGCGUGGGUGAUGAAGGUCUUCGGAUCGUAAAACCCUGUCGUCAGGGACGAAGGUUUGGGCGUUAAUAGCGUUUAAGCUUGACGGUACCUGGAGAGGAAGCCCCGGCUAACUCUGUGCCAGCAGCCGCGGUAAUACAGAGGGGGCAAGCGUUAUUCGGAAUUAUUGGGCGUAAAGGGCGCGUAGGCGGCUUUUUAAGUGAGAUGUGUAAUCCCUGAGCUCAACUUGGGAACUGCAUCUCAUACUGGGAGGCUAGAGUACUGGAGAGGGUGGUAGAAUUCCACGUGUAGCGGUGAAAUGCGUAGAGAUGUGGAGGAAUACCAGUGGCGAAGGCGGCCACCUGGACAGUAACUGACGCUGAGGCGCGAAAGUGUGGGUAGCAAACAGGAUUAGAUACCCUGGUAGUCCACACUGUAAACGAUGAACACUUGGUGUGGAGGGAGUUGACCCCUUCCGUGCCGUAGCUAACGC
rnacentral:rRNA from 1 species